rnacentral:rRNA from 1 species
CACGUAGGGUGCGAGCGUUGUCCGGAAUUAUUGGGCGUAAAGAGCUCGUAGGCGGUGUGUCGCGUCGGCCGUGAAAACCUGCAGCUUAACUGUGGGCUUGCGGUCGAUACGGGCAUCACUGGAGUUCGGCAGGGGAGACUGGAAUUCCUGGUGUAGCGGUGAAAUGCGCAGAUAUCAGGAGGAACACCGGUGGCGAAGGCGGGUCUCUGGGCCGAUAACUGACGCUGGAGGAAGCGAAAGCGUGGGGAGCAAACAGG